rnacentral:lncRNA from 1 species
UGCAAACUUUUCUUCUGCAAUUAAUUAAUAUGAAAUCUCUAAUUGCAUAGUCUUACAAAAGCAUUCAUUGAAAUAUGUUAAUGAUAUGUUGUCACUGACUAAAAUUCUUCGUGGUAAUUUGUUUGGUAAUCAUGUGAAUAUUUAAAAUUUUGUUUAUUCUAGAGCUGUGUGAUAAAUGUAAAAUAUCACAUAAAAUAAUAUAAAAGCGUCAAUCAACAUAUUAAGAUAUGUAUUGCUCCUCUUAACAAGAUUGUUAUUAUGGUGUCAGAGUAAAAAAGAAAAGAAAAGAAAAAAAAUCUAGCAAUUUCAAUUUUUCGAAGUUUAAACGAACACUUGAAUUUCAAUAUCGAGUAAUCGACGUUUUCAAAUAGGUCGCCAUCUUAUGAGACAUCUUAAACGUAAAAGCCCACAAAAUACUCAUCAACAAUUUAGCAUUUGUGUUACUCCUCUUUUAUCAUUUAAGAUGGAAUUAAAAUACUCAAUAUGGCGUAAGGAAUACAUUCUUAUAGAAUUGAUCACAAUGACAAAUGUCAAUAUUUGUGCAUUCUGCAAAUAUAACACGAUCUCGACGUGUCAAUAAUUGAGCAAUUGGUUCAAUUAUUUUUUUACCUAAACAUUUUCGACGAGAAAUUACCAUAUGUCAUCAUAAAGAUGGGACAAAAAAACAAAGCCAAUUAGAUGCUAAAACGUUCGUGUUGGGGAAAUCAAAGAGGUUAUUGACAUAAUAUGAAGUAUAUGAUUGCACAGAUAAGAACAAGAAUAAAAGUAAAGAAAGAAAUUGGCAAAGGAGCAAAGCGUUUUAUUGACAAUCAGUAGGAGAGAAUAAUACAACUUCAGCAAUAAUAAUUUCCCUAAAUUGAAUAGAAGAGUCACAUAUUUAUAGAGGCAUACCAAACCUUAAAAAUACCAUAAAGAUGAAAAUAAUAUCAAAAGUAAUGUGGAAUGAUGAAAUAAUAUUUUUUGAAUAAAAUCACGUGAAAAGAAGGAAACAAUAUUUCCAAUAAAAUCAUGUGAAAAUAAGGAAAUAAUAUUUU